ensembl:lncRNA LINC02388 long intergenic non-protein coding RNA 2388
AGUUGCAGUGAGAUGUGAGGCACUUGCAGAGACUCAGUCCACCACCCUGGGCAGCUUUCACCACCCUGGGCAGCUUUUCCGAGACGUAGGGACUGGCUUGCCGUAAUUCAUAGCUUCUGCUGUCCCUUGCUACAUACCUGAGAAAUUCAAGCCAGCUGCAGAAAUUUGCUUGAGUAGCAAGGAGCCCAAUGUUAAUCCUCAAGACCAUAGGGAAAAUGUCUCCAGGCCAUGUCAGAGACCUUCAUGGCAGCCCCUCCCACCAUAGGCCCAGAGGCCCAGGAGGAAAAAGUGGUUUCAUGGGCCAGGUCCAGGGUCCUUGUGCUGUGUGCAGCCUUAGGACUUGGUGCCCUGUGUCCCAGCCAUUCCAGCCGUGGCUGAAGGGGCCAAUGUAGAGCUCAGGCCAUGGCUUCAGAGGGUGGAAGCCCCAAACCUUGACAGCUUCCACGUGGUGUUGAGCCUUAGGUUGCACAGAAGUCAAGAAUUGAGGUUUGGGAAACUCCAACUGGAUUUCAGAAAAUGUAUGGAUGCCCAGGCAAAAGUUUGCUGCAGGGGCAGGGCCCUCAUGGAGAACCUUUGCUAGAGCAAACUGGAAGGAAGGAAAAUGUGGGUUUGGAGCCCCCACACAGAGUUCCUAGUGGGCACUGCCUAGUGCAGCUAUGAGAAGAGGGCCACCAUCUUUCAGACCCCAGAAUGGUAGAUCCACUGACAGCUUGCACUGUGUUGCUGGAAAAGCUGCAGACACUCAAUGCCAGCCUGUGAAAGCAGCUGGGUGAGGGCUGAAUCCUACAAAGCCAUAGGGGCAGAGCUGCCCAAGACCAUGGGAACCCAUCUCUUGCAUCAGUGUGAUGUGGCUGUGAGACCUGGAGUCAAAGGAGAUCAUUUUGGAGCUUUAAAAUUUGACUGCCUCACUGAACUUCAGACUUGCAUGGGCCCUAUAACCCCUUUGUUUUGGCCUAUCUCUCUUUCGGAAUGGCUGUAUUUACCCAAUACCUGUACUUCCAUUGUAUCUAGGAAGUAACUAGCUUUCUUUUGAUUUUACAGGCUCAUAGGUAGAAGGGACUUGCCUUGUCUCAGAUGAGACUUUUGACUGGAUUUUUGGGUUAAUGCUGAAAUGAGUUAAGAUUUUGGGGGACUGUUGGGAAGGCAUGAUUAGUUUUGAAAAGUGAGGACACGAGAUUUGGAGGGGCCAGGGGCAGAAUGAUGUGGUUUGGCUGUGUCCCCACCCAAAUCUCAACUUGAAUUUUAUCUCCCAGAAUUCCCACAUGUUGUGGGAGGGGUCCAGGGGGAGGUAAUUGAAUCAUGGGGGCCAGGCCUUCCCAUGCUAUUCUUGUGAUAGUGAAUAAGUCUCACGAGAUCUAAUGGGUUUAUCAGGGGUUUCCGCUUUUGCUUCUUCCUCAUUUUUCUCUUGCCACCACCAUAUAAAAAGUGCCUUUCACCUCCUGCCAUGAUUCUGACACCUCCCCAGCCAUGUGGAACUGUAAGUGCAAUUAAACCUCUUU